rnacentral:rRNA from 2 species
UUGAUCAUGGCUCAGGACGAACGCUGGCGGCGUGCCUAAUACAUGCAAGUCGAGCGGACUUGUAGGAGCUUGCUCCUGCAGGUUAGCGGCGGACGGGUGAGUAACACGUGGGCAACCUACCUGUAAGACUGGGAUAACUUCGGGAAACCGGAGCUAAUACCGGAUGACAUAAAGGAACUCCUGUUCCUUUAUUGAAAGAUGGCUUCGGCUAUCACUUACAGAUGGGCCCGCGGCGCAUUAGCUAGUUGGUGAGGUAACGGCUCACCAAGGCGACGAUGCGUAGCCGACCUGAGAGGGUGAUCGGCCACACUGGGACUGAGACACGGCCCAGACUCCUACGGGAGGCAGCAGUAGGGAAUCUUCCGCAAUGGACGAAAGUCUGACGGAGCAACGCCGCGUGAACGAUGAAGGCCUUCGGGUCGUAAAGUUCUGUUGUUAGGGAAGAACAAGUGCUAGUUGAAUAAGCUGGCACCUUGACGGUACCUAACCAGAAAGCCACGGCUAACUACGUGCCAGCAGCCGCGGUAAUACGUAGGUGGCAAGCGUUGUCCGGAAUUAUUGGGCGUAAAGCGCGCGCAGGCGGUUUCUUAAGUCUGAUGUGAAAGCCCCCGGCUCAACCGGGGAGGGUCAUUGGAAACUGGGAAACUUGAGUGCAGAAGAGGAAAGUGGAAUUCCAAGUGUAGCGGUGAAAUGCGUAGAGAUUUGGAGGAACACCAGUGGCGAAGGCGACUUUCUGGUCUGUAACUGACGCUGAGGCGCGAAAGCGUGGGGAGCAAACAGGAUUAGAUACCCUGGUAGUCCACGCUGUAAACGAUGAGUGCUAAGUGUUAGAGGGUUUCCGCCCUUUAGUGCUGAAGUUAACGCAUUAAGCACUCCGCCUGGGGAGUACGGUCGCAAGACUGAAACUCAAAGGAAUUGACGGGGGCCCGCACAAGUGGUGGAGCAUGUGGUUUAAUUCGAAGCAACGCGAAGAACCUUACCAGGUCUUGACAUCCUCUGACAACCCUAGAGAUAGGGCUUUCCCUUCGGGGACAGAGUGACAGGUGGUGCAUGGUUGUCGUCAGCUCGUGUCGUGAGAUGUUGGGUUAAGUC